rnacentral:lncRNA from 1 species
AGUGAGGGAAACAAUUUUGGGGAGAAAAUGAAGCUGGGCCUCAGUCCCUCACUUCUCACCCUCAUGUUCCUGGUGGCUUGCAUGGCCCAAGUCCUGAUGCCAGGGACAAGGACGAAAAGAAUGGUAAGCCCCUGGAUUCCUUUAAUGGAAUUCCCUUUCCGCAUCACCAUUGGAGGGGUAGGCACUUACCCCUCCACCAACCAAUUUGAACCAACGCCUAACCUUACAAGUUGUGAUGUUUUGCUACGCAGUAGGCAAAAACCAAAUGGCAGCAGCCAAUCAGCCAAAUGGACAAAAUUCCUACCAGGCCCCUGCCUCAAAGCAGACAGCCCCAUGACAGGCAUAGCAAGGUCAAGCGAACAACCCCCCCCCCCAAUACAGGGAGGGUGGGCGGGUGAUCUGGUGCAAGCAUCCAAGAGGACACUCAAAGUUGGGCGACCAAUAUUUAAAACCUCUGACCCCUCCUUCAAAAUUGGCAACAAGCAAUUCUCCCCAGCGACCCAAUUAACCAAUUCACUGCCUGGGUCACUCCGCAAAUCCACCCAGCAACACUGGGGUGGCUUGUAUCCCCCACCGCAACACAUGCUCUCUGCUAGGGAGAACACGUUAUACGGACAGAGCAGAGUUGGGCACAUCUGUCUGUUUUGGGCUUGCGACAUUUUUCACAUCUGUAAGUCCAUUCUAUCACAUUUCUGCAUAAAUUUGCACAUUAAAAUAUUAUCCAGAGCUUAUGCUGAUGCAUGAAGGAAGUAUUGGGCUAAGAAAGGACUAUAAGGAAUAGGAGGCUAAUUAGGCUCCUUUCAACAGAAUUUAAACAAACUUAUCUUAAUUUAGACCCCAAAAUCCCACCCCCAAUCUCCAGUAUGUCUCUUUUUUUAAAAGGUAUCAACUAUCACAUGUACAUAUCAGCAAGAGAUGACGAUGGACUUGUAAAAGGGUAAAAGAGUAUUGGGAAAUGAUCCAUAAUGAAUUGAAAAAAAUAUUUUAAAGAACUCCCCCCCCCCCAAAAGCCCCCCAGAGUCCUUUCUGUUGGGGACAAUUCAGAUUGAAAUUCCCAGGUGUCAAAAAAGGUUAUGUAUGCUACUACUGUGUCCCAUGUUUUGUUAGCCCCAAAAUGGAAAAUGAGCGAGGUCCCAACCAAAGAAGAAUGGCAACUUAAGUUGACAGAAUAUGCACAACUUGCAGACUUAACACAUAGAAUAAGAGAACAAGAAGAACAUUGGAAGAAGAUUGGAAAAUGUUUAUUGAAUAUAUGGGAAAUAAUUGUGGACAGCUGAAAAUGCAUUAAGAUAAAUUUGACAGUGUAAAUAAAUUUUGAUGGAUGCAAUAAUGGAAUACUGGAUGGUAUAGUUUUUGUAAAAUAUGCAGGGAUUUAUGAUAUGUAAAAUGAACCCUGGAGAGAGAAGAAGGGAAGUCAUUGAUAUCUUAAGGAUGUAAAAUGAGUAUUUUAAAUUGUAAAACAGAAAAUUUAAUAAUGAUAUAUCUCUUGGAUGGCCAAUAUUAUUCUCCACCUGGAAGUUUUCUCCUCCCUAUGGGAGGAGGUGCCAUUUUGAUGCAAAAUAAUUUGACAAAAUGUUUCCAGUAAUUUCAGCCACCACUAUAUUUAGGUGAGAUACAGUAAAAAUACAGAUAGUAUUUUUGUUACAUUUGUUAGAACAGUGAUGUAUAAACAUACAAGGGUUAAAACAAGACAUUAAUACAAAAUGGUGCAGUCAGCAUUAUAAUGUCACAAACUUGUUUUUAUCUGUAAGCUGCCUUGAGUCCCAUUGGGAAAAAGGCGAAGUAUAAAUAAAUAUAUGAUAAUAAUGAUAAUAACCUAUCCAGAUGUGACAUGUAAUCCUGACAAGUAAUUUUAAUGCACAAUUUUGCAAUAAUAUGCAUACUUUUUAAGAUUGCUGAUUUUAAUUCUAUUUUAAAUUUGUUAAAUUCAACUUGAUCUUUUGAUCUUAUAUUUUAUUUUAUCAAUAUUUUUUUUAAAUUGUUUUUUAUAUUGCUUUAUGCAAUCCUUCUAGAGAUGUACGGAUAUAAACCCUGUUAAGUACAUAAAAUAAAUAUCCACACCACCCAAGCAGGAAAAGAAUACCAGGGAUAGAUAAUCAGUUGGAACAAGACCUCGAAUCAACCAUCCCAUCUCGUCAAAUGCCUGGGAGGAGAGGAAGGACUUAAACUGGGGUUGAAAAGAUGACAAAGUUGGUGUCAAAUGAGGCUCACUGUGGAGAGUAUUCCACAGAUAGGGGGACACUACUGAAAAGACCCUGUCCUUUGUCACCACUCUUCAAAACUCCCUUAGAGGAGGUAACUGGAGCAGCUCCUCAGAUGCUGAUGUAAGGGAUGGGCACAGGUGUCCCAUCAAGUAUUGGAGAACCCAUUUACAUGCCAAAUAUUUGGAACAUCAAAAAUUUCAGCAUCGGCCAUGCACUUCAUCUCAGCCACCCACAUCUGGCCUACGCAUGCAAAAGAAACAUGCUUCUGAUGUUCAAGCCGUGUGUGUCUAGUUCAAACUAAAGAGAGUUUAAUAUUUAAAAUGUGUCUUCGAAAUAUCUUGGAUGUUCAGACUAGUCGGAGUUAAUGUUCUGCUAUUAAAUAUUCAGUUUUACCAAGACCUUUUAAUGCACAAGCAGUUUUCCUUCCUCCUUCCUUUCUUUUUUAAUCAUGUCAUACGCACAAAGAAGACGCGUUUGAAGAGACCACAAAUACAUUGCAGCGACUUGCAUUUUUGUUGUUGUUGAAAAGCUGCUAAAUGUUUUUUUUUCCCUGCUGAUGCCCUUGUGAAGUUGUCACUCUGUGACUGAAGCUGUUCUAUGGCUGCAAAGCCAGCCCCCCCCCUUUUAUUUGCAGAAAUAGAUGAGCAUUUUUGCAGAAACGUCUCCACCACCAAUGUUAGGCUGAAGCCUUGUUCAUGAAACCCAAAACUUUUAACGCCUUGCGGACAUGAUGUGAAUCAUAGGUGCCAACUAUGCAGGGUGCCCGGGUGCCCACAAAUUUUAAAUGAAGGGGUUGCCCCCCUCCCCGAUUCCACUUGGCAGCACACACAUGCCAGGGGGCAUACAUCCCAUCCAUCAUGCAUGUUUUGGGACUCGAUGCUGGUUUUUCUCUCAGAAAACACUAAAAAAAUCUUCCCACCCCCAUUUUAGCAAUUGACUACUUUUGAACUGUUUCUAUAGCAGCACAAAUGAGGUGUGUGUGUGUGGGGGGGAGAAGUGUUUAACCACUGAUAUAUUAGUGCUGGGAAAGCUAACAAUUACCAGGAGAUUUUCUUUUUCUUGUUUUUUUCCAACCUUAUUAAAGAAAUUGCAUUAAAGAUGAAUGAGCAUUUAUUUGGAAUAAUUGUGUUUUAAGGUAGGUAAGAUUAAAAGAUAUUGAAUGGAAUAUUGACUGUUUGGUAGGAAUAGGAAUAAUGAGAUUCCCGUUGCCUAAUCUUACGAUAAUUGGGUUAUUACUAUGCAAAUUAAGGUAUUACCUUUAAAAAAGAAGGUAAAGGAGAGGCUAGAGACAGCCAUUUAUCUCUCUAUCCUUAAAGCUACGCUGCCACUUGCCUUUAGGUUGAAGAUCCCUUUUAAAAACAAUGUGGCAAUAUAUAGUUCAUCAUCAUCAUUAGUUUGUUAUAUAUAUUUGUACGCUCUUCCGGAACCUUUUAGGGAUAAUUGACCCAACACCUAACCUUGUGAUCUCCAACACCACCCCCAUUGGAUCAGAUCAGAGACUUACCUCUCUCGCCAUUGCAGUGCCCACAAGCACAAGUUGUGCCCAUAAUAAUAAUAAUAAUAAUAAUAAUUUAUACCCCACCCAUGUGGCUGGGUUUCCUAUCAUAUGUACCAGCUCCUAGGGGUUGAGGAAGUUUUGGGCCCCCCCAAUUUUUUUUGAGGGGGCUGGGUGAUCUCAAUGCUUAGAGUGUGUUGGGCCCUUGGCUCCUGUGACAUCACAUGCACAACGUCAGGACAUCAUGUUGUGCCCCCUCAAUCAGCUUGAGAAGAUGGCGCCUUUGCCUCCUGUGGCACCCAGGAAAGGUCUCAGAAUACGUACAUCCCACCCAAAAUACACACUGCAUGAGAGACUGUUCAGUUGCUGUUUGCACUGGCUCAGCCUCUCCUACAUUAAACAUACCCCUCAGACAUGCCCAUGUUUCACUAGAUCUCAGGAUUGGACGCCCACCAUCCCUUCUAUUCCGAACAGAGGAGAGAAAAGCUUUUAUUCUUCUGUCAGAGAGCGUGGUCUAUUAAGUAGUGGGUGGACAUAGCAGACGAUACAGAAAUUUCUCCAAGUACAUUUAUAAGUACAGUGGUACCUCUGGUUGCGAACGGGAUCCAUUCCGGAGUCCCGUUCACAACAUGAGCAGAACACAACCUGCGUCUGCACGGGUCGCAAUUCAUCGCGUCUGCGCAUGCGCAUGACGUCAUUUUGCACGUCUGCGCAUGCACGAGCAGCAAAACCUGGAAGUAACCCUUUCCGGUACUUCUGGGUCGCCGCGGGAUGCAACCUGAAAAAAUGUAUCAUGAAGCAAACGCAACAUGAGGUAUGACUGUAAGCUGGAACUGAACUGAACAGCAAACAGCUCAGCUGGCCUGCUUUUAUAGGCAGCCGGCUGUCAACAUUGUAACAACAACAGCCUAGGGUUUCCCACCUAAAUUAACUGACGUGGACCUGAGUGAAAACUAUAUACACAAUACCCCCCUGGUGGCCAGGGUGAGAACUUCAAUACAUAACAUGGUCAAAUGUCAACGCCAUUUUGUGGCCCUCUCUUUUUCUCUGCUCUUUUAAAUUCAGCGGCCAUUUUGUGUGUGUGUGUGUUUUUUUAAAUAAUAUUUAUUAAUUUUCCAACCGUUU